CGUACACUCCUACGGGAGGCAGCAGUGGGGAAUAUUGCACAAUGGGCGCAAGCCUGAUGCAGCCAUGCCGCGUGUAUGAAGAAGGCCUUCGGGUUGUAAAGUACUUUCAGCGGGGAGGAAGGCAAUACGGUUAAUAACCGUGUUGAUUGACGUUACCCGCAGAAGAAGCACCGGCUAACUCCGUGCCAGCAGCCGCGGUAAUACGGAGGGUGCAAGCGUUAAUCGGAAUUACUGGGCGUAAAGCGCACGCAGGCGGUCUGUCAAGUCGGAUGUGAAAUCCCCGGGCUCAACCUGGGAACUGCAUUCGAAACUGGCAGGCUUGAGUCUUGUAGAGGGGGGUAGAAUUCCAGGUGUAGCGGUGAAAUGCGUAGAGAUCUGGAGGAAUACCGGUGGCGAAGGCGGCCCCCUGGACAAAGACUGACGCUCAGGUGCGAAAGCGUGGGGAGCAAACAGGAUUAGAAACCCUAGUAGUCCCAU
rnacentral:rRNA from 1 species